GGUUCCGGGUGUGUGUGCAACCUCACUCAUCUGUACGUGUCCCAAAAGAGCGUGGUGAAUAAAUCAAACACUGAGUAGCAUUUGAAGAACCUGGGGGAGGGUGGUCACCUGGUAAGAGUUGAGAGGUACACAGAUCCAGCCCACGGAGGACCCUGCAAACACUAGGCAAAGAACCAGCUUCCCAGAGAUCAUUCUGGUUACUAUGUGAGGAAGACAGAAAUACAUUUUUGUGUAAAAAAUAUGGUUAGGCAGAAAGGCCACCACAGUCAAGCCUCCAAAAAGAGUCUAGUUAAUAGGAAAAUUGAAGCCGGACCGAGGCCUGGGAGGGAGGGAAACUGCCUUGCUUUGCCAGUAUGGUUUUGCCUGGUGGUUAGAAUUUCCUUGUUUGGCUAAUUUCAGAGUCUCAAGGACUGGAGUUCUCAGAAAUGUGUGUACUUGACCUUCUGUCUUGGGACACAAACAUGGUGUCCCCAGGCUUUUUCAGUGGGUCUUGGGUACAGGGUGAUGUGAUCCAGACCACAGGAACUCCAGUGCCAGCCUGCUGCCAGUCCCCAGUGGUGCCCUGUUGCUAUGAACACAGGCACAGGAGUCCAGGGCAUGUUUGGACACUUCCCAGGGCCAGUCCCUAUGCCUUCCCAAAGCCCAGGAACAAAUGAAGCUUAAAGGGAAGAAUGGAGCCUCACAGACAGGGCAGUACCUCUGACCUCAAAAAAUGCUGCAGAAUGAUCGUGGUCAGACUGUUGGAAGUUCAGCGGUUUUGAGCACGUGGCCGCUACAGUGGAAAAGACUGGACGGUCAAUGAGGUGUUUUGCUGGACCUACAGUUUAGCAGGGAAAUGGGAAAGAAAGAGGCAAAGUGGCUGGAAAGAUGGUUAAGAGCACCAGAAGGUCUUGUGCAGGGCCUGGGUUGGAUUCCCAGCACCCACAGAGGCUCACAGCCAUUUGUAACUCCAGUUCUAGGGAAUCCAACUUGCUCUUCCAGCCUCUGUAUGGCUCACACGUGGUACACAGACAGACAUGAGAGCAAAACACUCAUACAUAUAGAUAUAAAAAUUAAAACAAAAAGAAAACAUUUUUAAGAGCCGAGCCUGGGACUCCCGGCCAGCCUGCUUAUCCUACUUGGAGAGCUUCAGGCUACCGAGAGACAGUCUCAAAAUAUAUGGACAUCACCUGAGGAAAGGACACUUGAGGUUGACCUAUGGCCUUCACACACAUACGUGUGUGGUGCACAUAGGUACACAUACAUGUGUACAUGGGUUCACAUAAGCACAGCCACACAAAAUCUCCAGUUGGGGGGUGAAUAAAAUGGCCACAUAGACAUCCUUCUUGCUGGUAAAAGAAGGUCUUCCAGCUCGAGAGCAUGGAAGUCUGUAUUGCUCCCUCCUUGAGCCAGAUUUCUGGGAAGUUUCCACAGCUUUUUCCCGCUCCGUUCCUCCUCUUCAGAGGUCCCCUGGUCACCUGGACUAUGGACAACAUCUUGUCAGUGAAAGGUCUAGGGCUUGGCCCACUGGGGUCAUCAGCAUGAGGCCCAGAGCCAAGCCAGGGGCUCCAUUUCCAGUUCUUCUUUCAGGGGGAAUCAUCUGAUACACCCAGCCCGCACUGUCCUGCAGCCUGGAUAGUCACAAACAAAGCAGGGGAUUCUAACUCAGAGACCCAACCCCCGUCUACACUAACAUUGGUAAUUGCUCUUCUACUAAAAGAGAGGGAGAGAGGGAGGGAGAGAGACGGGGAGAUAAUAAAACUUAUCUUUAACUGGCUCCAGAAAACCCCAUAAAAGGCCGGUGCAUUCCUCAGAGUUUCCCACGAGCUGUCUUCCAUGUGUUCACUACAGCCAAUGUUCAAAUUCCCAGGGUCAGGGAGACACCUGGGAAAACUGAAAGUACAAACAAGACCUGAGUCGGUGGUCAGGAGAAGGAGGUUCCAGCCGCAGUGACCUCAGUGGCCCCAUCAGUGGGCACCCCCACUCUCUGGGUCUUAGUUUCCUCAGGUGUAAGUUAAAAAACCAGGAGAUUAUAUCCUACUGCCUAACUCUUCAGUGUGUAGGAACCUUGUUCUUAGCUUUCUGCCUCCUGGGCUGAGGUGUAUCUCAGAGGUCGAGCUCUAGCCUGGCAUGCACAGGCCUUGGGGUUCACCCCUAACCUUAGAAAAAAUAUUUCCCUGUCUUCUCUUUUAUUCAUUUUAAGAUUUUAUUUUUAACUACGUGGAUGUGUGGAGGUGCAUACAAGAGUGCCGUGCCUUCAGAGGCCAGAAGAGAGCAUCGGAUCUUUUGGAGUUGGGAUGACAGGUGGUUGUGAGCUGCCAGUGUGAGCGUUGGGAACUGACCUUGAGCCCUCCAGGAGGGCAGCAAGCAUUCUUAACUGCUGAGCCCCCAUUAUAGACUUCCCAGCUUUAUUAAAUCUGAUCCCUUGUCUUUAAAAGGUUUUAUAAAUAAGACCUCACGUCUUUGCUUGAAUGUGGCACUCCUACCCAAACUAAACCCAGCAGAAACCAUGCUCCAGACUGGUCUUCUCAGUCAGACCCCUCCCCUUCCCUCUUACCGAGGUAGGACAGUUUAUGGUGAGACUUAAAUGCCAGUUUUUCCUUCCUCUUAUCAUCGGGCCAUGUCCCUCUGCACUUGGAAGGAGGGCUGCCUCCCACCAUCCCACCCCCUCUCUGAGUCUCCCCUGUCUUGUCUCCCUCUGUGUUCUGUUCUCUUCUGGAAGCUUUGGGUUCUGUGUGGCAGCCCAUGGCUUCCUGGGUAUGUGCAGGGAAGCAUCCAUGAGGCUCUUCACUUGCUCACUCAAGAGAGAAUGUGUAACUUCACCAGCUGCUAAAGGAUGUUCCAACACACACACACACACACACACACACACACACACACACACACACACACACACAACACAUGGCUGUCAUGAGCAGCCGACGCCAAGCUUCUGAUGCUCAAAAGGAAAAUUUUAGGCUGUGGUGUGAGUGACAAAGCACACUCAAUCUGCCCUUGACCUUCUGUCUGCUUCCACUCAGAGAGACAGUCUCCUUAAAACACAUUCUACUUAGAACGCUGCGAUUGGACUGCAUCACCCACUAACCAUGUGCUGGGAGAGGUGACUCUGUCCUUAAGGUGCUUCCCUUGCUUGGCUAGCAUGAGGACCUGGGUUGGAUCCUCAGAGACUAUGUCAAGAGAGGGGGAAGGAGGGAAACACCCUGAGGAGAGGGUUCAGUGUCUGAGACCAUUUGCUAAGCCUGAGUUCAAAUCCCCAGUAGCCAUGUAAAAAACAUGGGUGGGGCCACAUGUACCUGUUACUCUGGUGCUACGAGGCAGAGACAGGUCUAAACUGGGAGCUUGCUGGUCAACCAGCCUAGCCCAAAAUAGUGAGCUCCCUGUCUUUAAGGGGAUAAGGUGGAGAGUAAUAAAGCAGGACAUCUAAUAUCCUCUGCCAGCCUCUGUGGGUACAUACCUCCCCUCCUCAUCCAUCCAUCCAUCCAUGCAUCCACCCCUCCUCCCCUCACAGGCAUAGUGUGGUGUUACUGGGGAGGUAGAAACAGAAAAAUCUCUUGGGCUUGCUAGUCAGAUAGUCUAGCCUAAUUAGCAAACCCCAGGCCAUGGAGAAAUCCUGUACAUAUAUACAUGCAUACAUACAUACAUACAUACAUACAUACAUACUGUAUAUGAUUACUGAGAAAUGACACCUGAGAUUGUCCUCAGAUCUCUAUAUGCAUACAUAUACAUGCUAAAUGUUCACAUUUACCUGCAUAAAUGAACACACACACACAGACACACACACACACACACACACACACUCACAGCAAGAGGUCAAUGGUCAGUUUCAGGUCUUUCCCUCAACUGCUUCUCCACUUUAUUUUCUGAGACAGGAUGGGUGUCUCGGGGAACUGGAGCUCCCUGGUUCAGCUAAACCGGCUGACCAGCAAGCACCUAGGGUCUGCUGUCAAUAACUCCUGCCUCCUAGUGCUGGGGUUACAGAGAUGCACCACUAUGCCUGGCUUUGUAUGCAGGUGCUGGGGCUUGAAUGUAGGUCCUUACCCAUUGAGCCAUUUCCCCCAGCCCCGUCUUCCAUAAUAAUAGCACUGCUUAGAAACUCUGGAAACAUGAAAACUAUUGAAGUUCUCAGAAGAUGGUGCCAGCUUUUUCUAGGUUUCUGUCUCCAUGUAGUGAAAGUGCAGAUAUCUGUGGGGUUUUUUGCAUGUAUACAGGGAAAUAUGUCCAGUUAUAAUGGCAGCAAACAGGAUGGUGUCUGACUCAGGCUGUGGUGACAACUCAUCUUGCUUGUCACCUGACACGCCUGGGAAAAGGGGGUCUCAAUUGAGAAAUUGCCUCCAUCAGAUUGGGCUGUAGGAACUAUUGAUUGAUAAUUGACUUAGGAGCACCCAGCCCACUGUGGGUGGUCCCAUUCCCUAGGUAGGCGGUCUUGGGUUGUUUAAGAAAACCAACUGAGCACAAGCCAGAGAAGGAAAGUCAGUAAGCAGCAUUCCAUCAUCGUUUCUGUUCACUCCAUGUUCCUGCUUAGAUCUUUCCCUGACUCUCCUCAGCGAUGGACUUUGAUGUGAAAGUGUAAGUCAGAUAAACCCUUUCCUCCUCAAGUAACUUUUGGUCACUAUGCUUAUGGGUUCCUAUAACAGCGGCUAUGGGCAUCUGUAGUGAAAUUGCCACUAAUCCACGGUGAGCUUCUAACCACACGGACAGAGCCUUAUAUGUAAUGUGAAGAGGUGAAGAAGUACAGUUACCUUUGUAUAGUGCCUGAUACACAGUGAAUAGGCCACAAACACCGGACGUUGAAGUACAAACAUGCAGUUACCACUGAGACCACCAGAUGGCGACACAUCAAAGGUCACUAUAAAACAAGACUCAGGCCUGGACUUUUCAAAAGGAAAGAAGAAAGAGUACUUGAACCUGGAGAUGGCAGGGGAAGCACAGGUGGCAUUUUUUCUUGGUUUUAUUCUGGCCCUUUAUCAUAUUAGAUAGAUGGAUCAUAAACUUUCAAAGUAGUAACUUGAGAGCUGCAAAGCCUCUUUCUUGACCUGUGUGUGCUCACUGACUCUUAGGAAGUUAGAGUUAGUCUGAGGACUAAAAUACUUUGUCCAUAAAGAUAGUAAGUGGUCCCAUCUGGUUGCUAUGUAACAAGUCCUGGCCAGGAAUAUUUACAUUUCCAUGUAGUUCUCCAUACCUCCCCACCAAGUGUGUGACUGGGAAAUGGACUUCUGGAGACAGAGAUGCCAGGGUUGGUGGUGGUGGUGGUGGUGAUGGUAGGGUGUCAAUUAAUCUUGCUCUUGGCUUCAGAAGUCUCCUCUGUGGUAAUUGCUUGACCUCCAUGACCCUGGGCAAAGCAUCAUGGCAGCAUGGAUGUGUGGAGAAGGCUCUCCGCCUCACAGUAGCUAAGAGUGAAGUGAGCAUGAGGUCCUGAGUUUGAAUCACUCCGGUGACAACAGGGUGCGCUGCACAUAACUGUAGCCCCAGCACUGUGGCAGAUGGAGCCUAAUGCGUAAGAUUGUAAGCCUCUGGCUCAGUGAGAGACUCUCUGGUAGCAGUAAUGCAGAAAGUGGGAGAUGAGACACCCAGUGCCUUCCUGUGUCUUCCUGCAGGAUCUGCACAAGACCACACACCCGUACUCACAUUCAUGAAUGCACCACACACACACACACACACACACACACACACACACACACACACACACACACACACAGAGAGAGAGAGAGAGAGAGAGGAGAGAGAGAGGCUACGAAGAGAGGGAACUACCUUGCUGAAGAGAGGGAACUACCUCCUCAGCACUCAAGUGGAAAAGCCAGGCCUGGUGGCUUAUAAUCUCAUCCCUGGGGAUAGAUAAAGAGAUGGGGUUAGGGGUGGGGGUGGAGCUCGCCAGCUAUUGUCCUUGUUGAGCUCUGGGCCAAGGAAAGACCCUGUCUCCAAAGAAGGAGGUGAAUGGCGCCUGGGGAACGGCAGCAAGCUUGUCUUGUCUCUCACACAGAAGUCCUAGCUUCUUAUUUAGUCCCCUGUGCCUCCACGCCCCUUCACCUCACAGCCACCACUGAAGCCCCAUGUGUGAGGGAGCAAAAGUGCCUCUCUGAACGGUCACAGUCCCGUAGGCUCUGAGCUUGGCUGUCAGGACAAUAGUUUGUUAUAAAUUAAAAAAACAACAACAACAACAAAACAAACAAACAAAAACACACUUUUUACCCAGUCUCAGGUCCUACUGAUACCGUGGCUGAUACCAUACUAUUACUAUGUCACUAGAGUCACUAAACCACCCUUUCUCGGAGGCCUCCCUAACCAUAUUCAAUCCUAAGUAGACCUCAGUGCUAGACCCACUCAGGUAGACCUACUCAGUGGGACACAGCUUAGACUCUCAGUUCCCUGCUUCCUACUCCACUCCUCCCACUCGGGCUAGGCAGUCUGGAGACCACCCCACACCCAUCCCAUUUACAAAUAGCUUUCACAUUUCCCAGCCACCUCUGGCAGACAUUGACCGAGUCCUUCCCUAUCUUAGUGCCCAAGGCUCUGAGAGGAGGCUCAUACUCUGCUUUUCUUUCCACACCCGUGGCCUGCAGAGAAUCAACCUCGGGGGCCUUUGCCGAUGACCUCAUGGGGAAUUGCUGCCUGCAGACUUCCUGUUUUUAUAUUCCUUUCUCCUCUGCUUAUUUUUCCUACUUUGCUGGGUUUUGUGCAUUUCUAUCUUGCCUCCCUUAACCCAGCUUGCAAAAACUCAACUUUUUUUUUUCUCUGUGAUUAUUUUAAAUACAUGUUUAGAUAAGGAAAGGAAUGCACCCCCCCCCCUCUCCCAUUUGAGGAAUUGCAUCGAAUGGUGUCUUUCUCUCUUCCUGUCCCCCUCCCUAUUCCCCAUGGCUUAUUCCCACACUGCAGUCUUCAGCUUCCACAGCUUAGAAGGGACAAACUCCAAGACCUGGAUCUGCCAGUGCCACACCAGGGUGCUCUGUCUCUCACUGACGGAGACCCUCUGCUGGAUGCCACAGGAGACAGAGAGACCUCCAGCUUCCCACAGUUGAUCUCCUGAGCGCUCUAAAAUACAAUGCAGAGUUCCUGAUUCAAAACCACACGGGCUCUCCACUUCUUCGAGCCUGAGUCCAAAUUCUUGGCGUAUGUGGAAAUACUCCACAGCUGGCCCAGUGUGACUCCACCUCUGGUCUCGUGGUUGGUCCGUGUGCUUCCGUCCCAGGUUUCCAGCUCUUGUUCUUUCCCUACAGUUCUCAGCCACCCCCUCUCUGUCCCCUACAUGCUAAGAAUAAAUACAUCUAUAUUGACCCUAAUGGUUUAGAACCAUCUUAUCGUUCUGUUUUCCUACCUUUUUGCUGGAUUGGUUGUGUUUACAGGCACUUACUUGGGUUUAUUUUCUCCCAUCCCAGCCCUAACCAGGACCAGUCUGGCUUUGCUUUGGGGAUUGGAAGACAGUGGGUACAUUUAGGUGGUAUGCAGAUGUGUGUUUAAUUUGGAAGCAAGUGGCUUUCUCUGUGAUUCUCUCUCUCUCUCUCUCUCUCUCUCUCUCUCUCUCUCUCUCUCUCUCUCUUUCUCUCUCUCUCUCUCUCUCUCUCUCUAUCUCUCUCACUCUCUCUCUCUCUCUGCCGUGUGUGUGUGUGUGUGUGUGUGUGUGUGUGUGUGUGUGAUAAACAGACAGACAGACAGAGACAGAGACAGAGACAGAGAGACAGAUUUUGCUCAUUGUUGUCUUUGGAUAUGGUUGUCUCCUACAGCCUGUGAAGCAAGGCCCUGGGGGAAGGAAUGAACUGGAAAGGUUGGCCGCUCACACGCUGAUCUCCCAAAGCAGAGAGCACGGAUCAUUUAACAAGAACCCAGAAUCUGGGGCAGGUGGGGGAAAGAAAUACCAUCUUCAGAGCCUUACCUUGUUAAAGAUUCAGAUUCCUGGGCCGGAGCUCCAUACCUUGUAAAUAUAAGUCUCAGGAAUAGGCCCCAGGAAUCUGCCUGUUUAUGAAGCACUGAGAUUUGGUUGCCCCAGUGUGACACCAUGACCCAGGGGCUCCGGGAGGUGGAGUCCUCCAGGCAUUCGACCCCAAGUGUAUACUUUCAGUGGCUGCUGUAUGGCUCUUGUCAAUAUUUCCAUCCCUUGGUGUUUCUGACACAGGCAGCACUGUCCACUUGGAGAGACCCUUUCCCCCCUCCCAGCCUGUGCUACCACACGCUUGCUCCUGGUGCCUAUCUUAGUCUUUCAGCGGCUCCUUUCCACAAUAUAUCUGGCUCCAUUUCAUCCACAGGCUCUUUUGCUCUUGGGAUUUUCCCCAGAUCCUGUCCUUGACUUUGUCCUUGGCAUUCUGUCCCUGGCCGAUGUUUUCCGCCCCCUACAUGGCCAAGCUGAUGGUGUCAAAACUGAUAUUUCCAGUGCAGUUGCUCUCUUUGGCCUCCUGCCUAGGCACACACUGCCCUCCUGAGCUCUCCCCAGCGUGAGGCCAGGCAUCUCAAAUUGCACAUCUGUUUUGUGUAUCUUCUCCCUUCACUUCCUGUGUCUGAAAAGAAGGCACCCACUCGGCGCUGAACUGGACACCCAAGAGUCACCCCACCCUUCCCACUCACUAGUUGCCUCACCUAGAACAAGCUGCUCGUGUCCCUCUGCCUCCGUUUCCUCAUCUGAAAUACGGUCACAGUGGCAGUACCCACCUCACUGGGUUGUGAGGGGUAAUGCGGUUCUGUCCAUAAAGUACCUAGAAUGAUACCUGGCAUUCUGAAAGUGUAUGAUCAAUGCCAGCUAUUGAUAAUCAUAACUCCGAUACUAAUAAAUACUCAGUUGUUGAUAAUUGUGAGCACCAUUGUGCUCUCUUCCUCCUCUAUUGUCCGCCGACAAGGUAGCCACUAAGUCUAUUUUCUAUCUUCAAAUUCCUUCUUCUCUGUAACCAGCCUCUCCUUCCCUCUCACCUCUGCUCCACCAAUCCUCAUUUUUUCCCCUCAACGAGUCCAGGUUUUACUCUCUCACCUGAAUUCCUGACUCCUUUAUCAUCUCUGAGACUCUUUGAAUGCAUCAAACUACCUCUCCUUCCUUCUCACCUCUGCUCUGCCAAUAUGUAUUUCUUCCCUCAACUAGUACAGCUUGAUCUCUCACCCAGAUUCCUGGAUCUUUUAUCACCUCUGAGACUAUGUGAAAGCAUCAACUGAGUUUAAAUCAAGACCAACUGACUAAGUAGAUGACACAGGAUGAGUAACUUUUGUAUGUAUGUAUGUAUGUAUGUAUGUAUGUAUGUAUGUAUGACCAGUGGUCACUGGACUGAGUGUUUCCAAGUUCUUAGCAUCUUAUUCUGAGAAUUGAAGAAAUCUCUGGGAUGGUCACUGUUAAUUGUCAGCUUAACAGAAUCUAGAAUCACCCUGAAAAAGAAUCUCAGUGAAGGAUCGUCUAGACCAGUUGUUCUCAACCUUCCCAAUGCUGCAACAUCGUGGAGUAGUGACCCCCAACCAUAAUUAUUUUCACUGAUACUUCAUAAUUAUAAUUUAAAAUUGUUACUGUUACAAAGUGCAAGGUAAAUAUCUGACACACAGGGUAUCUGAUAUCUAACUUCUGUGAAAGGGUUGUUUGACUUCCAAAGGGAUCACAAACCUACAGAUUGAGAACCACUAGUCUAGAUCAAGUUAGCCUGUGGGUAUAUCUACGGGGGGUGGGGUAUCUUGAUUAUGUUAAUUGAGGUGGGAAGAUCUGUCCAAUGUGGAUGGCAGCAUUCCCUAAGCAGAGGAUUCGGAACUGUGUGAGAGUGGCAUUUAGCUGAAUACUAGUGUCCAUGCAUUAAUUCCUUUCUCUCUGCUCUGAACUGAAGACCAAAUACGACUAGCAGUUUUACAUUUCUGUCACCUUGCUUCUCCACCAAUGAUGAACUACAACCUGGAAUUAUGAGCCAAAUAAUCCCCCCUUUUUUUUCCCUUUAAGUUGCUUUUGUCAGGGUAUUUUAUUACAGCAACAUGGGACGACUAAGACUCACACAAACAGCUUAGUAACAGGGGAUUUUGCUCAAAGGCAAGGUGAAAACACAUACUAGAUACAAACCAAGGGGACAGAGUGCUUCUAGCAAGGGUGUUCGAGAGCCUCUAAUUACAUCUUGGGCUCCAUUUUAUGGGUAAGAUAUGGGUGGUUCUCUGUUUUGAUGGCUACGCAUGGGUUAUGUAAGUCUGUGCUCGUUGCUCAUGUCCUUUCCCAUGAUGUGUUUCAAUUUACUCAUCUGUAGGUAUACAUACGAUGGUCACAUAGGGAUUUUCCCUUAAAUUUUAACUCAAAGGACACGGGUUACUUUACUGUACCCCCAAAGCAGCUCUUAGUUAGAUAGGUGCACUUCCCUAUCCAGAGUGUGCUAAGGUUUACCAGUUACUAGAAGUUACUAGAGUGAGGUGAGCCGUUGCUUCAUUUGUCAAGGAGUGUUUGUACAUAUCCCAAAAGCAGGCGAGAGUCCAUGGUUGUAUAAAUUAAUCUUGCAAACAACCUACCUCUGAUGAUUCGAAUCAAACGCAUGGUGUCAAUCUCCAGAGGGGUGAAGCACCUUAUGAAUCAGGAAGGAUAUAGGUAAUCAGGGACUUGGGAAAAUGAAACUCUGGUUAUGAGGAAUUCUCCACAAAGUGUUUCUGAACAGAAAAAUGACAACAUGCCUGGGAAAGCAUCUGUGUGGCUAGUUUUAGGUCAACUUGACAGAAGCCAGAGUUAUCUGAAAGGAAGGAACUCCAAUUGAGAGAAUCCCUCUAUAAGAUCCAACUGUAGGGCAUUUCUUAAUUACUGGUUGAUAUAGAAGGGUGCAGCCCAAUGUGGGUGUUGCCAUUUUGGGGCUGGUGGUCAAGCUGAGCAAGCCAGUAAGCAGCACCCUCCAUGGCCUCUGUAUCAGCUCCUGCCUCCAGGCUCCUCCCAUGCUUGAGUUCCUGUCCUGACUUCCUUUGAUGAUAGACUGUGUGAUGUGGAAUAGCAAGCCAAAUAAACCCUUCCCUCCCUGUCUUAGUUUGAGUUUUACUACUGUGAACAGACACCAUGACCAAGGCAACUCUUAGAAGGACAACAUUUAAUUAGGGCUGACUUACAGGUUCAGAGGCUCAGUCCAUUAUCAUCAAGGAUCAUGGCAGCUUUCAGGUAGGCAUGGUGCAGGAGUUGCUGAGAGUUCUACAUCUACAUCCAAAGGAAGCCAGGAGAAGACUAGCUCCCACGUGGUUAGGAGGGUCUCAUUGCCCACCCUGAUAGUGACACACUUCUUCCAACAAGACCACACCUCUUAAGAGUGCUGCUCCCUGGGCCAAGCAUAUUCAAAUUGCUACACUCCCUGACUUUCCUUAGUCCUGAUGUUUCAUCCCAGCAACAGUAACCCUAACUGGGACAGCCUGCCUCCCAGAAGACAUGGAGGCUGCAGACAGCAGAAGAGUCAAGGUCCUCAUAUGGUCAGGGUGGCUCAGCUACGCUCAGAGGAGAGAGGCUCCACAGCGGAGCCAGAGGUUCCUCACUGCUGACAAGGACACUGCAGAGGGACAGAGAUGUUCCACGUGGGUUUUCUGACCAGAUCAAACAUUCCCUGGGACUCUAUUUCCCUCUCUCUUUGAGAGACCUGCCAUUUUUGAUGAGUCAUUUAUUCUGAGGUGCAGAUAAGAACUGUCAUCCUCCAGGAUAGCCCUCUCUUUAAUUUUGCCUUUUCUUUUCUUUCUUUCUUUUUCUUUUUCUUUUCUUUUUCUCAGGAGUGUGCUUCCUGGGAGUUUGUUCCUAAUAGUUCAAGAUGUACAAACACGGUGAUUAUCUGGCUCUAGAAGGUUGAAGACCAGAUCUGUCACCAUAGAUGCCAGCUCAUGUAGUCUUUAGGCAUCCUGAAGAGCCAAGCAGAAUAAUAAAUUGGGGGAGGAGUCUCUUCAACACAUAGCUGUGUUCCCCAGUGACAUAAACACUGUCGGGUUGAGUCUUACUAUGGAGAUCUGCCUUCACCUUCAUUGCUCCCCAGAAGUGUGGCCUCCCUCACUGGGAACAUCGGUUACCAAUCAGCUCUCUCCCAUUUAACACUUCUGCUUUCCUUAUUAAUUGACUUCUGUCUGAUUGAUAACAUGGAACAAGGAUAGGGAAGAUAUAGCCUGCACGCUGCCACUACUUCGGGUCAUCUUCUAAUGAAUCAUGGUUUUCUUUUCCAUUAUUUGGCCUAUAAGCUCUUCUCAAGAAAGCCCUCCAAGGGGCUGAACAGAUCGCUCAGUGAUUAAUAACAUUUAUUGCUCUUACAAGUUUAGAUACCACCACCCAGGCUCACAACCACUUGUAAUUCUAGCUCCUGGAGAUCUGAUGACAUAUUCUGGCUUCUAUAGAUACUGAGUAUGUACACACACACACACACACACACACACACACACACACACACACACACUCAAUAAAAAGAAAGCCCUCCAAGAAAGCACUACUAAUCAAAAUUGGUAGAUGGACUAUGACAUAUUUCCUAUCCUUGACUUAAAAACGCCCACUGAUGUUUUUUGCAGGAGAGGUGUCUCAGUGAUCUAUUAUAGGACAUACCAAGUGUGAGUGGCUCAAAACUAUAAUUCAGGUUGUUCAUUUUUGUUUGUUUUUCAGUCAAAAUGUAUUUCUAUAGCUGUGAUGGUUUGUAUAUGCUUGGGCCAGGCACUAUUAGGAUGUGUGGCCUUGUUGGAGUAGGUGUGUCACUAAGGACAUGGCCUUUAAGACCCUCAUCCUAGCUACCUGGAAGCCAGUGCUCUGCUAGCAGCCUUCAGAUGAACUCUCGGCUCCUCCUGCACUAUGCUAGCCCAGAUGCUGCCAUGCUCUGACCUUGGUGAUAGUGGACUGAACCUCUGAACCUGCAAGCCAGCCCCAAUUAAAUGUUGUCCUUUAUAAGAUUUGCCUUGGUCAUGGUAUCUGUUCACAGCAGUAAAACCCUAACUGAGAUAGUAGCCCAGGCUAGCCUUCUAUUCACAGUCUUCCCACCUUUGCCUCUAACUGUUCCAGACCGGCUAGUUUGCUCAUGAUUCUAAGGGCAACCUAUUGCUGGACUAAGUGACUCUUCUGCUAAUAUUGCCUAUCCCCCAGCAUCAGGGAUCUUUAUGGAGUCUGGAGGAUGUCAAAUGGUCUCUCACAUGACUGGUCUUUAGAGCUAUCUGUUGACUGGGCCUCUAACAGCUCCUUACACUGUGUCACAUGGGAUAUCCCAGUGGGUAAGUACUUUUCUAGCUUCUGCUUCCCCCAUGUUUACAAAGGUCUCGUUGGCCAAUGCAAACCAUGUGACAAAGUCCAGGAUCAAUAUAUAAAGGAUAGCACAAGGAACAGGGACUCAGGAAGGCAUGGCUCAUUGGAAGCCUUGAUUUAUCAAUAUACCCUUCUCCAGGUGUUAUUUGUCGUAUCAGAAACUCCCUGAGUAUUUAGUACAAGCCAGCCCCAGUUUGGUGGUGAGCACAAGAAAAACGAGUCAUUGGGAAGAACUCUGGAGCCUGAAAAGGCUCUCAUGUGCUCAAAAGGCGGGAGAAGGACUCCUCAAACACAUCGAAACCCUGUGCAGGAGACUAUGGAUGACAUGAUCCUGGCGUGUCCUUGUCUACAUGUCUGCUAGACAAAGGCUAUGGAGUUAGACAAUUUCUCCUGGCCCUUGCUCAUGUUGCUUCCUGCAGUUGAAGCUCAGUAAACUACCCAUUGCUUCCUUGGUGAUAAGUUGUUCCAGGCUUUUCUUCAGACUCUAAGACACUCAAAACAAUCACAGAAGUGUAUGUUCCACAAAGAGCUACUUGAGCUUUUCCCCCCUUUUCUGGAAGCCUGGCCAAACUGAGAUGGAGGCCCAUGCCUGCUGACUCUGAUAUUUCCUCCCUCCCCACAUUCCUGCCACCCACAGCUGCUCCAGUCCAGAGUGAAAGUUCAGAGGUCAAAUACUUAGACGCAAAAGCUUCUCUAGAGUGAUGACAGAGAGAGCUCACUCCGGGAAUAAAUAGCCUCCUACUAAUGCUGCUCUUGGGCCUUCUUGUGAAGACUACUCAUGUCCUUAUCAGAUCACCCCUCUAGCCUUCGUAGCUGGACAGGAUUUUACAGACAGGGAAGUUGAGGCCCAGAGUGAGGACCGACUUCCUCAGUGAGUGACAAGGUUGGAAGCAGAGCACUGGCUGGCUGAUUCCAGGUGCUGGCUCACGGUGAAUAGACGGCAUGCUAUCCACAAAUCUAGACGGGCUGCCUCCAAGCUCUUCCUGAGUUUUCUCCUUCCCACCGGGCAGUUCCAGUGACAGCCACCUUUAAGCUUGCGUUCCUAAAUAUCCACAUGAAUGAGGAGACGUCAAACACCUCAGGGGCUACAUUCUCAGCCCAUUCUCUCCAGACAAGCGUGCAGUCUUUUUGCAGGGUCCGCUUCCAUCCUGUGAAUGAUCCAGCCAGGUUCUCUGAGCUGGAAGAGAGAGAGGGCCAGUGUCACUUCAAGAAAAUGUGAUACAGCAGAGAAGAUUAAAGCACCUUCCAGGGCCGAUUUGGAUGGAGUGAGCCAUUAAACCGGGAAAGAAUGCUGUCUGUGGAAGCUCCCGCCAUCUUGCCUUUGUGCUAGGAGUGGGAGACACGGGGCUUUUAGCUUGUUUAUUUAUUUUGUAUGAGUACAUAUCUCUGUGGGUAUAUAUUUGUGUGCAUGAGUGUGUGUGUGUGUGUGUGUGUGUGUGUGUGUGUGUGUGUGUGUAGGUGUCCCGUUCGCUAAAGGACAGGUUAUCAAGUAUCUUCCUCAGUCUCUUUCUGCAUUACUUUUUGAAACGGCAUCUCACCACCGCCAGCACUGACCAUCCCAGUGACCCUCUGUCUCACCCGCAGGACUGUGUGUGUCUUUGUGUUUCCCAUUUUAAGAACUGUGAAGAAAAAGCUUGACUGGCCGUCUCUUUAGAGAAAUAACAUGGGGUCAGUUGCUGGGAAUCUGUUUAUAAGGUUCUGCAACCCUAAACACUGUGAAAAAUCACAAGUGAAGUCCCAGAACCAUACCAGGAGAAUCUUACAGAAUGAGAGAGGAAGCAACAGAGAAGCCAGAGAAAGAUGGUGGUGGCUCUUCUUUAAGAGUUGAAAGCUGAAAAAAACAAAACAAAACAAAACAAAAACAAAAACAAAAAACAAAACAAAACAACAACAACAACAAAAACAAAAACAAAAACAAAAACAAAAAAAAACCCAACCAAGGGGUUGGGGAUUUAGCUCAGUGGUAGAGUGCUUGCUUAGCAAGCGCAAGGCCCUGGGUUCGGUCCCCAGCUCCGAAAAAAACAAAAACAAAAACAAAAACAAAAACAAAAACAAAAACAAAAAAAGAGUUGAAAGCUGGAAUCAGAGAGGGAAAGCAACUUCCUCAAAACCCCACAGCCUAUACUGGAAGACCUGCAAGCCUGGGCCCUCAUCCCAAGGCCAGCUCUUUUUCAGUUUUAUUAUAUAUCCCUUCUUGUUUCUUCUAUACUUCAAUGUAUUUUCCCACCAACCCACUUCCUGCCCCAACAACUCUUCGGCCACCCCGGAAACUCUCUUCUUGAGAAAGACUAUUAACUUAUAGAUUUAACGACCAUGUGUCUCAAUUUGAUCUCUUUAAAAGAUUUAUUUUAUUUGUAAUUACAUGUAUUGUAUAUGUCUCUGUGUAUACAAUGUAUGUACAGGGGCCCACAAGGCCAGAAGAUGGUGUCAGAUCCCCUAAGCUUUCGUGAUCCCUAAAACAGGCAAUCAAACCCGGGUUCUCUAGAAGAGCAGUGAGUGCUCUUAACUGCUGAGCCACCUCUCCAGCUCCCAGACGUCUCAACUUAAAUUGAGAUACUAAGGUGGAGUUAGAGGAACCCCCAAUUACUUUCUAAUAAAUAUGAUAACUUGUGCUUUCUUCUAAGGCCAUGUUGGAACCCCCUUCCCCAAAAAAUACCCUGAAAACAGAGAUGUUAGGAGAAAGGUGGUCUUGUGAAACAGUGGGUCUGGAAAAGUCCCAUAAACUUAGGACCGUUUAGACCCCAGUCCGCCUGAAGCCAGGAUGGGCGGGAAGGUCUGGAUGCAUGCUGAUGGUGAGAACUGGCGGGCGGAAGGUUCAGCACACACUCCAAGAGCGACUCAGACCCAAGGGUGUCUCUUCCAAAGAUGAGUGAUUCCCAUCAAGAAUUUUCAACCCAAAGCUCCCCACUUCCAAAAAGCUGAGUUGUCACUGAGGCUCCCCGUCCCACUGAUCGUGUUUCUAGCUGACACUGGAGGGUUCAGAGGCUCCUUCCUUACCACAGAUGGUGUGAACACCGAUGAACUUGUGUGGAGUCCACUGUCCGGGUCAUCAGUCUCCUCCUCUACCUUCCCUUUCCAACGCCUGUGUCCUUCCUUAAGCUGAUCUUUGUAUUGAAAUUUCCUAAGGCGAGACGAAAGAGCCCCAGCAAUUCUGAGCCUGGAUGACCAGUUGAGCCUGGCUGGCCAGGGAACACCAGGCAUCUGUCCGUCUCCACCUUGGCAAUGCUAGGAUUACAGAAGCAUACAGCCACGUCUUGUUUUUUAUGUGGUUCUGGGGAUGGAGCUCAGGUCCUCGUGCUUGCGAGAUGCUCUACUGACUGAGCCAUCUCCUCAGCCACCAAUACAGCAUUUAGAGAAAAAAUUGCCAAACCCUGAUUACUGGAGAUGGGACACUGGGAACCGAGUUUUCAAGAUAAGGUAGUUUUUCAAGUGAUGGGCAACUGGAAAGCUGACCUGGUUUUGCUUGAAAAGGGUCCAUUUGUGUGUGUGUGUGUGUGUGUGUGUGUGUGUGUGUGUGUGUGUAUCAGACAUAUAAUUUAAAAAUUAACUAGAGUAUUCUGAUAAUCCAACAUGGCGUUGGUCGUGACUGUUUAAAGUGAAGCUGUGGGUAUUUGAGCAUUUCUCCUUUUACUGGUGUAUAUUUUCUUGAAUGAGCAACAUCGCUUUUUAAAAUAAAAAAAAAGCAAUUUUUAUGUUUAACUUUUUAAUUAUCUCCAUUCUAAUCGGUCAAUCAAUACCAUCGUGGAGAAGAAGCCAUUACACAAAACAUACUUUGAAAAAGAAGGGGACUGGUUGUGCUCCUCAGAACUCAGCCAAGCUCAAGCACUCUGCAAAGACAGUCCUCUGCAGGGCACCAAAUGGGCUGCAGAAGAAGACAGCCCUGUGGGCACAGCUGGAGAAGGAACCUUCAUUCCGGACGUCAUUUCAAAGGAAUUCCUCUUUCAGCACGGCACCCGUAGGAGAAUUCUACAAAAACUCCAUUUUCACUUAGUUGUAGCACACGGAUGACUUAGACUAGCCUGGGAAGAAACUCACUGAGCGCCCCGAAAAUGGAGCAGUUGUUGCUGGUGAGCUUGACCAGCUGGGAAGUGAACUCUGUGCCCCACCACCUACCCCAGGGAACUAGGCAGCAACUGAUUACAUACCCUGGCCCUUUCUUGAAUUCCCACUGUGGACAGAUCGCUGGGCUCGGUUCCCAGUGUGCUUUGUCUCAACUAAGUAAAAGCACCAAAUAUCUGCGUGUAUGCAGAGGUCACAGAGAUUCAGCGCAUGACCCAAGGCUGCAGAUUAACACUGUAUGUUGGUAACUACCUAUCCUGGGCAGUGGGAGGUAGAUUCCACUCACGUGUCUCCUCUCCUUUGAAAGUUGGUUUUCUCAUCUGUUUAUCUUUCCCUUCAGGACACCCCGGAGCAGGAAGCCCUCCUACUCCUCUCCAUCCUUAGCAGUUUGUGUGGGCUUCCACGUUCUGUUGGCUGGCCCCUGGAAAAUGCUUUGCCUGUGCUGUUAUUUUUUCUUUUAUGUUGAAGUCUCCUGGGGUUCCCUUGACUCUGGUAGUUGGUGAGAGUCCAAGUAUGGACUCCUCUGCUUGUGACCAGAGGCAGGGCAGUAGGGUAAGGCUGGUGGGAAUUAGGGAGAGGGGGCUUUUCCACAUUUUAAAAGAUAAUAUAAUAACAUGGUUGAGGUUGAGAUAGAAAUACUUCAGAGGGAGCGUGGCUGUGAGACAGAGGGAAAAAAACAGAUCCCAUCAUCCCACCAACUGGUGGCUCCCACCCCUGAACCCCUCACCCUAGCCCCAGCACCAGACACACUUCAAGAAUGAGUAAAGCUAAGUCUCGGACUGGAUCAAGGAUUGGAACCUGCCUACCCGAAGAAAGUCAUAGAAGUAUCUAUAUGGACAAGAUUGGGUUACCUUUAACAUCGGAAGGAUAUGGUUGUGAUGGGGGUUGGGAGGAGGGCAGGGAAUGCCACCCACCUGUUCCUAGGGGAUGUUCCUGUGAGCCCGUCCUGGGGCCUUGUUUGAUGAGGUCUACCUUAUCUGGGUCCUUGUCAAUCAUGCAACCUUAUUUAUCAUACGUCAGUCAAGUGCGGGCUCCAAUGUGAUAAGUGGAAAAACAGAGGCACAGACCGAGGAGCUUGUCCCGCAUCUCCUACUAGGAAGUGGAAGACGUCGUUUAGCCCAUGUGACUCGCGCUUCCGGGCUUUUGCUCUUCAACUGGAUCAGCCAGAUGUUUGAGAAGCUAGACGAUUACCCAGGUGUUUCCUGGAUUUUAUUCCUGCAGCCUGUAAAUGUUGUCUAGGAUCUGACUUUCCAGCAGCUGGGUCUUCCAGCCUUGGGAGCAAACAGAGGACACCCCAAUGUCUCAAGUGGAGUCACUUGCGUACUUGGCUACUACUCUCACUGAGUCCAGUGGAGUUCACUGGCCGGGCAGCCAUGGAGAUGAGUAGCCUCCCCUCCCAUGCCCAAGACCAACAGCCAAGCAACAGCUGGCGGAGGUGUUUGGAAGUGGCGUUUCCUCUCAGCAGCACAGCCCGGAGUUAGGUUCUUCAGACUUCCUGAGAGGCCACCCCCUUGGAGAUUUAAUCCUUUCCCCAGUGUCCUUCCUGCCACCUGUAGUCUAAACUUAGCGACAAGCGCCCCUUCUUCCCCAGCCACUUUGGCAGGCCAUCUUGCUGCUAAUAAGCAAGAUGUGCUCCCUCAUCGGGCCACCUUGAGAGGGGAAGCUCGAGCAGGAGCCAGCGACAAUGAUCUUCCUCUGACUUCUGUCUGCGUCUCUGAGGAUACAGGACUGGGGCAGUUGUACCAGCAAGUCCUUGAGGUGGCAAGGGUCUCUUUAAUCACGUCACCAACUGAGUUAUGUGAGCAGAGCAAAAGCCAGCAGGAACAUGGAACCUUCAGGAUCCUGUACCUAAGUUCACAGCAAAGCCUCUAGAAAUGAAGCAACUUGUCUAAGAAGUGACUCACGGGGAGUUUGUCUCCGCUUCUCCAUUCUUGUGUGAUGAUAAAUAAAAAUGGCUGAAUUUAAUUUGAAGGUUCAAUCCUUUCAGACAGGAGUCUUUGUGUACACGUGCUCGUGCUCACACCCUUGCUAAGUGUCAAGGGUGUGGCUGGUGUAGCAAGGCUGCCUACAGCACUUAGGCAAUGGCAAACAUCUGAUACGGAAGGCUUCGUUCGGUUCCUGCCUCUCAGGUAUGCAUUACCAGGGUGUACUGUUUCUCUUGUCUUUACUAAUUUUCUGGACGCUCUCAAAAGAAGUCAAUUAACCAGAAGUCUCCACCCACCCGGGCUCCAAUUUGUCUGUGUGCUCCCUUAUUUUGAAGCACUGUGAUCUAUCACAGAGAGAACUGUGGUGUGUAGAUUUGAAAUUGGAGGCCUUUGUCCUGUUUUCUUCUCUGUGUGUGCAUGUAUACGUGUGCGCGUGCAUGUGUGUGUGUAUGAGUGUGUAAAAUGACAUCUGACAUAGAUUACAAGAGACUCAAGGAUCCAAGGAUUGGGAGCCAGAGCCCUUGUGCAUUUAUUUGCAGUGAAGCACAGGUUCCAUGAUGUUGCUUGAGUUGACACUUACGUCUUCAAGUGAGACCUUUUCAUUCAGUCAUACUGAACCUUUCCUGAGAACAAGGUUAUAUACUUACAUCCUUUUAUAUUUGGGGGAGAGUAUUUUUGAUACAAGUUUUAUACUAUUGCCAAGCCUCAGCCUCCUGAGUACCAGGAUUGUUGGUGUGAGUCACAAUUCCCAACUUGCUUCUGUGUAUUGAUCAGUGCCAUGGACUGAUCAAUUAAGGACCAUGCCUAGGCAACAAGCACUAGCUAUGUGCAGUGUGCAGCAUGGAGAUGAGAGCUUGUGGAAUAGCUACCCUCUACAUCUUACAGUCUAAUUAUAGACACCUGGCUGUGUCUAAACAAACAAACAAACAAACAAACAAACGUUUAUAAGGUAUAACAAAGUCUAAUGGAUAACCUUUAUAGUGGAAAAAGAAAAUGAGAUUAAUUUCAAAUGAGUUAAAUGGGCAUAAGUGACAUGUACUCCUUCUCCUACGAUCUCAACAGCAAACCAAGGCACCACUCUUCCAAGUUCACUCUGGAGAACCUAUUAGUUUAUUGGUCUUCGUUACAAAGCAUAGGUGAUGGGUUACCUACAGGAGUUCCCAACUUGCUUCUGUGUAUUGAUCAGUGCCAUGGUCAAUUAAGGACCAUGCCAACUUCUUCCCAACUGUCCACACAUGAAAAGACUUUACCCAGCAGGGAUGAGGGGUUCUCUGUAGCUGCAUAAAUGAAGCCCCACAAGCCCCGAGUCUUCCCAGUCCACACAUUCCAGACUCUUCCUCCUUGAGGCUAUAAGCUAUUAAGACAGGGUUGCCUAUGCUGGGUGGUGGCUGUACCCUCAGGUGAGGGUCCCCUGAGCUUCUCACCCUCUGUGAGGGGAUAUAAAGAAUCAUCGAGACAAACUGGGAUGAUCCUUUUGAACUCCCCAAGAUGGUGGUUUCUUGGCUUGAAGAAUAGUCACUCAUAACAGGUAGUGAAAAUAAAAUUAACCAUGUCACCUAUGGUGGUCUGAAUACACUUGGACCAUGGGAAGUGGCACUAUUGGGAGGUGUGGCCUUGUUGGAGGAAGUACAUCACCAUGAAGGUGGACUUUGAAUUCCUAUGCUCAAGCUCCUCCAGUGUGGAAGACUGCCUCCUUCUAGCUGCCUUUGGAUCGAGAUGUAGAACUCUCACCUCCUUCUCCAGCACCAUGUCUGCCUGCAUGCUGCCACGCUCCCUGCCGUGGUGAAAUAGACUGAACCUCUGAAACUGUAAGCCAGCCCCAACUAAUGUACUUCAUAAGAGUUGCCCUGGUCAUGGUGUCUCUUCACAGCAAUGAAACCCUAACUAAGACACCACUCACUGAACUGGAAAGCUUCCUUAGGAGCGAUUGUGACUUCCAGAUUGUAAGCCUGAAAUAUCACUAAGACUUGACCACAUUUUCCAGACCCUGGAAGGUGCUCUGAAAAUCACUUGGUGGACGAAGGGAGACAUUUAUACAGUGAAACCCUCUUUCUAAAAUUUUUAAUUGAAUCGAUCCUCUUGUAGAGGGGGCAGCUUCAGCUCCCAGCACCCACAUGAUGGCUCACGAACAUCUGUAACUCCAGUUUCAGGGGCGUCCUAUUCUCCAGUCCUCCAGGCCCCUUCUGAUUUCUGAGGGCCCUGCACGCAUGUGGCACAUAUUUAUAUGUAGGCAAAAGAUUCAUACACACAUAAUAUAAAAUAAAAAUAUUUUUUUAAAAAAUCACUUCAGGGGCUGGAGAGAUGGCUCAGCCGUUAAAGGCUAGGCUCACAACCAAAUAUAUAAAAAAUCACUUCAGAAUAAAGUCAUUAGUUAGGAUGGCCUUUCAUCUUGACACUUUAAACAUGUCUUAACUAUCUUUACAUGCCAAUGUCUUGUAUCUUGUUAUAUGAUUAGAAAUUCGUUACAUAAUAAAAUCUAUGCCAAAGGUGGAAAUUAUUGUUUCCAAAGGUAUGAACAAAAUAUGUCGAGGAUUUCAACAUACUCCUUCCCAGGACGGCAACUCUCGAGAAUGCCUUUCUCUUUUUGUUGUGCAUUGUUACAACAGAACAUCUGAUGUUGGGCAAUGAGCAAAGACUUUGUAACCACAGGGUCUCGGCAGCAUGGUACCAGCAUGGUGAGGGCCUUCUUGGUUGUCACAACAUGAUAAAGAAAGAGAGGGGUUGGGGAUUUAGCUCAGCAGUAGAGUGCUUGCCUAGCGAGCGCAAGGCCCUGGGUUCGGUCCCCAGCUCCAAAAAAAAAGAAAAGAAAAGAAAAAAGAAAAAAAAAGAGAAAAGAAAAAGACUAUUUACAGAAAGGGCAAGUGUACAAGGAAGGAAGCCAGAGGGAUGUGGGGGAGGUGUCGGUUCUCUUAUUACAAUCCACACUCAAGAUCCAGGAAGAGAGCCAGGAUUAACCUUAAAGACUUAGUCACGACUGACAAGUCCUGACCUUUCAAAGGUUCUUUCACCACAAUACCACCCUGGGGACCAAGCUUCCAGCACCUAGAGCUUUGGGGGAGACAAACCAUAGAAGUGGAAAAAUGAGAUAAAGUGAUUUAAUUAUCAGCAUACAUAUUACUGCAUCUUAUUUAUUAUUCUGUUGCUGUGAUGAGACUCCAUGACCAAGACAACUCAUAGAAGGAAGUAUGUAAUUUGGAACUUGCUUUACAGCUUUAGGUCAGCCCACAAUCAUGGUGGGAAGCAGACAAGCAUGGGGCUGGGGCAGUAGCUGGGAGCUUUUCAUCUUGAUCUGCAGAUCCACAGACAGUAAGGAGAGAGAGAGAGAGAGAGAGAGAGAGAGAGAGAGAGAGAGAGAGAGAGAGAGAGAACACACCUGGGCUUGGCAUGGACUUUUGAAACCUCAUAGCUCACCUCCUCCAACAACCACUAACCAGGGGUAUAACAUAUGAGACCGUGGGGUCCAUUCUCACCACCAUGUACCAAGAAUCAGGUAAGUGACAGACACCAUGUGACAAAAGCUUCUGGGAGGAAAAAGCACCACAAGUCACAAUGACCAAUGGUGGCAUCGAAGAAUGGCUAUGGUCAUAGGUCACAGGAGUGGGCAGGGAACAGAUGGCAUGCAGCAUGGGUGACAGGUGAACUGGUCUUGGUUCCUUGGCCUCAGAUGGGUGCAGAAAGAAUAAGUCAAGUAGGGGGCUGGGGAUUUAGCUCAGUGGUAGAGCGCUUACCUAGGAAGCGCAAGGCCCUGGGUUUGGUCCCCAGCUCCGAAAAAAAAAAGAACCAAAAAAAAAAAAAAAAAAAAAAGAAUAAGUCAAGUAAAUUAGCAUGCACGACCUUUAAGGGUCACAGGGUCCUUGUAGGUUUCUUUGGCGGACAUCAUUAUGCACAGUCCUGUAUCCUUUUGUUAAACCUUUGGCUCUCCGAUCAGUGGGUUGAAUACUUGGUCAGAUAGAGGAUUUAUUGUUGUAAUAUUCAACUUCUCUGCAUAUUGUCUAGUUCAAACAUCUAAGUACCAAGACAGAAGGAGAAAAGGGACUGGUGAGAUGGCUCAGACGGUAAAAGGGGCUCAUUGCCAAGUCUCAUGGUCUGAGUUCAAUCCCCAGGAACCCAUCUAGUAAUAGAAGGUCCUGCAGCUGUCUUCUGACUUCCACAUGAGUUUAUUGGGCUUCCUUACAGAGUACAGGUGAGGGCUUAUCUACAGGAGUGCAGAUGCUCUCCCACACAAACGAUUCUCUCUGUCUUUCAAGUGUGCAUAUACACACAAUAAACAAACAGACAAACAAACAAAGAAAGUAAGUUAAACAGAACAAAUAGAUAUCCCAAAUAAUUGCAAUCAAGUCUGCAAACCAACAACCACACUGUGAAGAGUUCCUCGGGCUUCUUUGCUCUCUCACAGAUAAAGAGGCAGCAGAGGAUGGAGGGGACAUGCUGUCAGCCAUGUGGAGGAGCAGAGCUAUUUAAGUCUGACAGGAAAGUUGCCAUUGAUGUCUGUCCAGAUCACUUGUGGCUUAGUACUAACUGCCAUUUGGCCUCCGUGACCUCGAAGUUGUUGCUUUUCCCUCUUCCUCUCUCUGCUGCUCUCAAGCCUCUGUCCUAGGCUCGUGUGCCUCCCUCCACACACUUCCGGGGCUUGCCCGUGCUCUCCUGUGGUUUGCCAUCCCCUCUGUUGCUGAUAUCCAGUCCUUUAUCUUCAGCUCCAGACCCAAGCAUCUUCCUGGAUGCCUGAUGGAGCUCAGGUUUCUCUAGUCUAACAGCCUAACCAAAACCUUCCCCAUCCAACAAACUCAUUGCUCUGAGUGCACACUUUUAGUCAGAGAACAUUAUUGCUAGGGGUGUCAUUCAGUAGUAGGGAACUUGCCCAGCCUCUGUGGGAGCCUGGGUUUCAUGCCCAGUGCUGUGAUAAUAAAACCGAAAAGCCCAUGAAGUUAUUCAUUCGUGCAUUCAAGUUUAAAACUGGGAAGUCAGCCUUGACUUAGCAUCUUUCAAUAUUGUAUCUGAAUGGGCUGUUCUAAUUUAAUUUCUGUUGCUGUGAUAAAAUAUCCCAACAAUAAGCAUCUUACAGGUGAAGGGGCUUGUUUGGCUUACAGUUUUAGUUAUAGUUCAUUAUUUCAGGGGAAUCAAAGUAGGAAUGUAAAGUGUCACAUCCACAAUCAAGGGUGGAGAGAGAGAGAGAGAGAGAGAGAGAGAGAGAGAGAGAGAGAGAGAGAACCAUCUCUCGUCGAGCUGUAACCUCUCUUACACUGCUCAGGAUACUCUUCAGGAACGUCUCCUAGGGACGCCGCCAUCCACGAUGGACUGGUUCUUCUUAUAGUAAUCAACACCAAGACAGUCUCUCACAGACAUGCCAACAGGCCAACUUGAUCUAGAUAAUUCCUUAGUAGGUGAGGCUCUCUUCCCAGGUGAUUCUAGGCUGUGCCAAGUUGACAAUCCAAAUUAAGCUGCACAUAGGCCCUAAAAGUCUGUCAACCACACCUCAGAAUCUCCUAAGCCCACCUCUACUUGAGCUCCUGUGAGAUAACCUUUAACCAGCAUGACUGCAGCCUUUCUUUUCUUUUCUUUUCUUUCUUUUUUUUUUUUUUGGAGCUGGGGACCGAACCCAGGGCCUUGCGCUUGCUAGGCAAGCUCUCUACCACUGAGCUAAAUCCCAAACCCCGACUGCAGCCUUUUAAUUGGCCUUGGGUCAAGGACUUCUUAUUGUUUGUCAACAUAAAAAUGACUAACACAUUUGGAAAAUUGAGAAUUUGUGUAGCACAAGAUACAACCUCAAAUCUGGUUCUCAUGUUUGUAGGAGAGCCUGGUGUCCUCCCACAUCCCAUUUUUUUCUUGGAUUGUGUCCUAGGGCUCUAACCAGUAGCCUACAUUGAGGUAGUCAUCAGUAUCAAUCCACACAUUAAACAGUAGUAAAACUGAAUUUAUUUCUCUUCCAUAGAAAAAUAAUCUCGGAGACUCUGAGGGGAGCCUUGCUUUACUUUGCAGACCACUAGUCCCUUCUAUAAAUUGUCCCCUAAAAAUAUGCUAAGUUGAAAAAGCACUUCCAUUGCAAGCAUGAAGAACAGAGUUUGUUCUCCAGAGCCCAUGUCUUAAAAACAAGAGCUAGGUUUCACUUGUGGUGUACUUGUAAUUACAGAACAAGAGAGGCAGAGACAGGAUAAUUCUUAGGGUUCCUUGUCUGCCAGCUUAGCUCUCAAGAAACAAAGCAAAAGGUUCUGGAGGAACCACACACAAGGUUGUCAUCUGACCUCCAUAACUAAGCUCAUACAUACAUACAUACAUACAUACAUACAUACAUACAUACAUACACACACACACAGGCAUGAACACACACACACACACACACACACACACACACACACAAACACACACAAGCGUUGGAACCUGUGGAUGUUAACUAGUUAGGGUGAGGUCAUACUUGAGCAGAAAAGCGACUGUUUGAAGACCUAUAGAAGUCAGGCAAGGAGGGAUCCAGCAGAGGCUGGAGGCAAGCAAUGUGUGCAUCUGCACAUGAUGGCUGGGGAGCAGCUCGGGCUCUGAGAGAGCUUGAAGGAGUCUCUUCUGCAGCCUGCAGAGGGAGCGCAGUUUUGUUACCUCUUGAAGUUCGGACCUUUGGUCUCGGAGACAGUUAUUGCUUAAGCCAAUAGCAGUAUCAUGGCAGCCAUUGCAGGAGGGAUCUAGAGAGUGGAGAAGGUUGAGGGAGGCAUCAGGAUCCCCAACAGUCAAGGUGACCCAUGAGCUUGGGGAGGAGAGAGAGUUCAGAAAGGCAAAGGCUCGGACAACAAGGGAGGGAGCUAGAGGAUGUGAGUAAAGGCCUUGGAAUGUGCCGCAGAGGCUCGGAGCAGACAGAGGAAACACCUGUCCCAGUGGAGGUGCUCCAAGGAGAGCCAAAUGCCUCAGGGUAGGACGGGCAGGGCAGCUCUCCAGGUGCCCAUUCCUUCUGCUCUUCUGGGCUUGGAUUCCCUCCUCUGGCAACUGAGCCUUUCCCAAUUCCUCCAGGGCGGUUCCCUCUAGUCAUUUUGGUGACACAUUUCUGGGCUACCAACUACACAUCUCCAUUUGUUUGCCCACACCCAGGCCCAGCCCUAUGCGCUCUGCCUAAAACUCUACCUCACUAACGCCUCCAACCUAAGGCCCUUUUAAUGAAGGUUUGGUUCAUUGCUGCAGCUCCCUUAAUGGCACAGCGAGCAGCUGUUGAAAUGCUGAUGUUUUAAAAUAGAAAGAAAGGCACAGAGAAGCUUUCAGAGGGGCAAUUCCAUUUUUUAAUUUAAAAAAAUUAAAAAUGCACACGCAGGGCAUUCCUGUUGGACCAUAUAUAGCCCCCUCUCCCCCAAUACAAAGCCAAAGAAACAAACUAUUAAGGCUAACUUGCUUUUCAAUGUAUGAAUUGUUCAUCCAAAUUAAAUACAUGUACAGACUAUUACAUUAUUUUAUCUUUGAAGUCUUUACCUUGAUUUAUUAAUUGGUGUGAGGCAUGAGUGGGGAGGAGGACAACUUGUGGCCAUCAAUCUUUUUACCCUUCUAUCAUGUGGGCCUCGGGGAUUGAACUCAGGUACUCAGGCUUAGCCGCAAGCGCCUUUGCCCCUGGAGCCAAAUCACUGACCCUCAGAACAAACAUUCAUCAUUCUGUUGGGGAUGUCACGGACAGUUUCAUACAGCUCAUGGCGUGAGCUCACAGAUAUAAUAAGGAUAGAGUGAGAAGUGGAGAAUAGACUGUGUUCCUGGAGAGGGAGCCCCAUUUGGUUCAGGUGAACAGACAGAGCUGAGCUGACAGAGACUUCUGCGAUGGCAGUUCAUAUGGAAGACCAGGCUUGUCUUCAGCUGCUCACCCGACGUUUAUUGUGUGGCUGGCUUUAUGCUCUUCCCUCCUGCGAAAACCAUGAGAGAAAGGAAAACACUUGUAAAUGUCAUAAUGAAAACCAUACAGGAUUUGUGUGCCAAACAUAUUUAUGUGUCAGUCAUUGCAUAUGACUGGUAGAUUGGUGACCCACCUAGGAAGAGGUGACCGUGCGUGACAAAAAAAAAAAAGCCAUUAAAAAUGUGACUAAAUCUGAGACUUUGAUAUGGAGAGAUAAUCCUGCUGGGCCGGAUCUGAUCAUACCUCCUUGAAACAAAGAACCUUUAUGAUUGAGUUCAGAACCAGAGGGAGAUAUGACUUCAGCUGUUUUUCAGGAUGGAAGGGACCAUAAGCUAAGGAACGUGAGCUUACUCCCAGACACUGAGAAAAACCCAACACUUUGCCACACCUGAACUCAGCUGUGUGAACAAAACAUAAUCUCUGUCGUAAAGAAUUUAUCUAUUAUCAGGGCUUAUUCAGGUGGACAUGUUUGUUUGUUCGUUUGGUGUGUGUGUGCUUGUGUGUGGUGUGUCGAGCGCACACUCGUGCCAAGAUUCUGAGUCUACAUCUGUGCACCACAUGCAUGCAGGUGCCUGAGGCCAGAAGAGCAGGUCAGAUUCCCUGGAGCUAAAAUUACAGACAGUCGUGAGUUGUAAGCUACGAGCCCUAGGAAACAAAUCUGGGCCCCCUGUAAGAGCGGUAAGUGCUCUUAACCUCUGACCCUCCACUCCAGCCCCUAGGUAGAGAUACAGAAAGAAUAGAGUAGAGUUGCUAAGGGAGUGUUUACAAAGAGCUAUGUACAUAAAAUUCGCUGGGUGGCAUUCUGCUAAUAUGUUCUAUCUUGGAAAAAACUCCACCAGCAACAUCGCUCACACUUCUGCAGUCCCCUUUACCUGUAGGAUUCCUUAAAGAACUCACCCAUUGAGACAGUCCCCAUUCUUCCAGAAUUGCCUCUGAAAGUUAAGUGUAGCUGGCUUUUGUGUCCACCAUGCCACCAACACUGCUUGCUUGUGGUCCAGGUGGGCAAUGACCUCUACUCAAAGCUAUCCUGGUUGUCAGUCCUCAACCAGCGCACAGCCGCAUGACUACAGCUGGCCACACCUCUUUCCCAUCAUCCUCUUGGUGCUCCUCUUUCACUUCUCUAUCUCCUUUGUAGGUUUCUUGUCUUUUCCUUUGCGUCUUUUGUUUACAUUGCUUUCACGGGUAACCUCACGAUGUCUUGCACCAACCACAAGCUGAGGACCUCCAAAUGUUGACACUUCACCUCAGACCUCAUCUAUGGCCUCUAGAUGAGUAGAUCUAGCCUGCCACAUGGACAUGCCAUUAACCUGCUGCUAAACAUGGGAAAUAGGGAUGUCCAGUCAUCCCAGGUCCUCUCUACCACCUGCUCCACCCAUAAUUGUCUCCAUCCUCCUAGCCUGAGUAGAUUUAUAACUAAUUUUAUUAGAUUUAUAACUGACUCUUAUAUAUCCUAUCAGCCAUUAGAAACUUUGACUGGCUUGUGUAUCCAGAAUCCAAUCACUUCUACUGUUGUAAUCCCAGUUGUCUUAAGUUUCUUUUGCUGUGGUAAAGACCGUAAUCAAAAGCAUCUAGGGAAGGAGCAGGUUUAUUUCAGCUUAUACUUCCAAGUCACAGUCAUCAUCAUGAAGGAAGUCAGGACAAGAUCCUGGAAUCAGGAACUAAGGCAGAGACUAUGGGGGAGUGCUGUUUACUCGUGGCUUGCUCAGUCUGCUUUUUGAAAAAAAAAAUUAUGUGCAUUGACGUGUUGUCUGCAUGUAUGUGUGACUGAGGGUGCCAGAUCCUACGGAACUGGAAUUACAGAUGGUUUUGAGCCACAAUGUGGGUGUUGGGAAUUGAACUCAGGUCCUCUGGAGGAGGAGUCAGUGCUCUUAACCUUGGAAUCAUCUCUCUAUCUCUUGAACCCUCAACCUGCUGCCUUUUCCUCCUUAAUCCAACUCAGGACCAAAUGCUCAGAGAUGUCAUCGUGCUAAGUAGGCUGGGCCCUCUCGCAUCAACUGUCAACCAAGAAAAUGCCCACAAGCCAAUCUGGUAGAGAAUUUCCUCAGUUGAGGUUUCUUCUUCCACAAUGAGUGUAGCUUGUGUCAAGUUGACAUAAAACAAGCCAGCAUAUUAAUCUAGUCACCAUCGCCCCUGACAAAGUCCUGGUGCCUCCUGCCAGGUAAAGUCCCAAGCCCAUACCACAUCCUACCAGGCAGGUUCUGCACGCUUUACACACUUGCCUACGUGUUACCUCUCAGGCUGCCUCCUCCGUGCUCAUUCUGCUCCAGUUGCACCAGCACGGGCUAUUGCUUGUGUUCUACUUGAGUGUUGGGGUAUCAUGGCGGAAGAAGGCAUGUCAGUGCUUCAGGUGUGAUGUUGGUGCCUCUGAUGUGGCCCAGAUGGGGAAUGCAGAGUAGGCCAGAGUGGGAGGCAAUAAAGAGGGGACAUUGUGAAGAGCAUGAGAAGGGCCCGGGAAAGUCCUUUGGUGGAUUUCCAGUAUUCCAAACAGCUUUUGGCUCAGAGUAAGCGUUCAGUGAAUGUUUAGUGAGCUUACAGAUAAAGUUUUGGUCAUAAAUUCUCACAUGGCCUAAUUCUCUCUAUUUUAAAGAAUGCUAUUUGUCAUGUCACCUUUAAAAGUUUUGUAUAUUUACUUAGAAUCUUGAUUUGGAGACACCAUUGACUGGGUUUUUAAUUUAAGUGACAGAAGUCUAUAGGUUUUGGUUGGUGAGAAAGCUCAGCAGGUAAGGGAGCUUGCAUGAAAGCCUGGGGAUCCACGUUCAAUCCCUGAGGUCCACAGAGUGGAAGGAAAGAACCAGCUCUCUUUGCUCUGACUUCCACAUGUAUGGUAUGGUGUGGUACAGCCUCCCUCCACCACAUACAUACAUACAUACAUACAUACAUACAUACAUACAUACAUACAAAAUCAUAAUAUUGAUGUGACGCCAGGGUCGCUGACAUUAAGAAGUAGAUGGACUAGAGGACAGAUCUAAAAGGAAACCCAGCUCUACCUAAAAGGUUUGUUUUAAGCCUAGAAUCUAAGCCUUACCUGUUCCAACAUGAUCGUGAGGGAAACAGGGAGGACACAUUCUGAAGGUUCACCUCACAGUCACCCGUGCCUCUGUGAAUGCUCCUCUCUGGUAAGCAUUACUGCUCCUAAACCAGGAGCUAGAAGGUCAAUGAAUCCUUUAUUUAGAUGGAAUUAAGCUAAGUCUCUUUGAGUGAACUGUUUUCAUACAGAGACCUCGGCGGCUUACAUGGUUGGAUAAAUUGACAGCAAGCAAUGUCUCAGUCUCCUAAUCUGGGAAGCCGUGUCAGCUAUUGUUCAAGGACAUGGGUCUGAAGUCACACACGCAGACACACAUGUAUGCAUGCACACACAUUACAUGUUUCACACAGGAAACGAUCACUCUGAAAAAUCUCUAUACAGAAACUUUGCAUGCACAUGCAUACAUGCACUCAUACACACACACACACUCUAUGGUGAACAUUUGCUCAGUAGUUGUCUUGCUCAGAGUCCUUUCAGUACUUCGUACAAAGGAAAGACCAGGACUGGAAUAACUGCCUAUCACGCCUAUUCCUCACUCCGAUAUCAGCAGUACAUUCAGAUCUUUAUAAUGUAUAUUUGGGUCUCCUAUUUGGUUGUAUUAACUUGGUCCAUAGGAGGUUUGGUGCAUGAUGCGUACUUGGGGGUUCCCCGUUUUGUCUCAUUAGCUUGGUCCACGGUGUGUGAUGGGGGUUCUAUAAUCCCAAGUGCAUCCUCUUCUCCUCACUUGAUAGCCCAGAAAACAUUUGUGGUCUCCGGUCUCAUCCUACGCUCUUUCAGUGCUGAGCUGCAGUUAUCUCACAGAGAAGUUUCCAAGAAUUUGGCUGAACCGGUUGGGGUCACACGAUAGCUUGAACUCCAGGACGGAAGUAUUUACACCCUGGAAAUUGGCUGAGAUGAGUCAGGUCUCUUCCCACCCAGUUGCAAAAAGCCAGUUGUUAACUACACCUCUGGUGGAGUCUUUCUUCCAACAGGAUUGAUGAUGUCAGAGCUUCCUUUUUUUUUUUUUUCCCAACAGGGGCUGACUUUCUGUCUGAAUACAGCUUUCCAUGGCAUAUGAUGUAUAUAUGUACACUGUUUCAUUUGCAUCUUGGUUUUCCAGUUUUAUAUGUGUACAAAGUAUUUACAGACACGAACACAGCUUCCGGUUGUGGCUUGACGCCCAUUUACACUCCCCGGACAGAAGAGCAUGGCCUGAUUCGUAAUUGCUAGCUCUCCGUCCUUCUCCUGGACAGCUCUAAUGUUGAUAUAACUUAGCAGUGUAAGUUUCAGGUCCAUCAUUUAAUAAAACUGGGUUAUUAUUAUAGAAUGCAUUACCCACUUAGUUGCUGGGAGUAUUCAAGUAAUGCUUAUAAAGAAUUUAGCACAGUGCUUGACACUAGGUGUUACUUUAAUAAGUGUUACUCAUAGUGCUUGUAAUGUGAGGGGCACAGAAGGGUGGAAUAUAGUGUGUUGUUCACAAGUCUUUUGAUCAGUCUCCAUCUAGCUUUUGAACAUAAAUAAACUGUGCUCCUGGUGGCUCAACUGUUGGGAGUCGGGUAUAUGCUGCCCUUGGAAAUUCAUCAGCUGAUAAAUUAUCUCCACUUUAGGGAGAACACUAGUUAUUUCUGAGAGCAGGUACACCUGUUGGUGCUCAGGGGCUCUAAGUGUGAAAUGUCCUAGCCUCCACAUCAGACCUCGCCAUUUCUUUUCAAACUUGCCUAAGCACUGAUGAUUGUGGCUCUUGGGAGACACUUCCUUCUAUGUGCCAGCCCAUUCACAUGGUUCCUGAAACUUUCCCCUUUAUAUUAUCCCUAUUCCAUGCUGCAUAAAAGUAAUAGCUCCUACCUCCGAAAGGAGAGCUUCCCACAGACAAGCCACCACUCUCUAGAUACACCCACAUUUUCCUGCUCCCUCCACACCACAGUCUCUACCUUACCAUCUUCCAUUCUCCAUAAAGUCUACUCUAACCAACCUUCCCUCCCCUCAACUCCUGGGAGCUGCUUUACCAAGGUCAUUGGUAACACCUAUAGUGUAGAACCAAUCGGCUACACUAGAUCUCCGUCUUUCACAGGUCUUUGAAAACCCACCCUCUCCUGGCUGCUGUCUCAUUAUACUCUCUGGUCUGCUGCCCCUCUCUAGCCGUUCCCACCAGGCUCUUCUGCUGGUACCUUGUCUCUGUUCGAUUUCUGAACAUUGCAGUACCUAUGUCAUAGGCCUGUGAAUCUUAAAUCUAUGUCUCCAAGACCACCUUACUAAUGAGGUUCAGACUUAUACUUGAACUCCCUUUUUGUAGCCUCCCUCAGCUGCUCUGUGAUCAGCCCAAACUAGUAUGGCUGAAGAGACUGUUUAAGCUUCCCUUCAAAACGUCAUCAUUCCCACCCACUUAGAGUCACUAUCCACCUACUUGCUUAAUGGCUCCUGUUGAGUCUCUAUCAGUGUCUUACACAUCAGCUGUGACCAGCCCAUAAUGGCUAUAGGAAUGGAGGGAUGCCCAACAAAGACAUUUCUUAGAGCCGAGAUUGCCUCUUAACAAUGCUCCCUGCCCUAUGUCAUGCAUGGCCACUCCUGCAUAGCAUUUAUUUCAGAAUGCUGCACGGACAAUUGCUGAGGACCUGCUGUCUUUGACUUGUGAUGCAACAGCUGUCAUGCACAGUUUUGUUCAUUAGGAAUCUAAAGUCACCUUUCAAACUUAAGAGCCACCAUCCCUGGUUGUCUAACGUGGACCAUGCUCGCCCUUCCUGUGCUCCAUUCUCUCCUUAAGGAAAGAAAAAAACACUAUGGUAAUGAAAUGUGUUACCUGUCUUGUCAACUUCUUUUGGGAGAAAAUCUGACUUAGGGGAGAAGGGGAGGCAGAAGGGUGGACUGGCGCUCCAAAGUUAUAAGUAGAUAGAAGAAAUAACUUCUGGAAUCCUGUCCCAUAUCAAUGAUGUAUCAUGUGGUGGGUUUUUGUUCUUGGUUUUAUUGUUUUGGUUUGGUUUUUGUGGGUUUGUGUUAUAUAAACAUUUUUAUAUAAAUCAAUGGUAGGUGUUUGAAGAGAGAGAUGAACAUUGCAUAUAUAGAAACAUAUCACAGCUCUCCUUGAGUAUGUACUGUGUUCAUAUAUUAGUCAACAGUUGCAAAACCGAACUGGGAUUUAAAUAAAACCAUUGAAAA